rnacentral:rRNA from 1 species
UACGGGGGGGGCAAGCGUUGUUCGGAAUUACUGGGCGUAAAGGGCUCGUAGGCGGCCAACUAAGUCAAACGUGAAAUCCCUCGGCUUAACCGGGGAACUGCGCUUGAUACUGGAUGGCUUGAGAUUGGGAGAGGGAUGCGGAAUUCCAGGUGUAGCGGUGAAAUGCGUAGAUAUCUGGAGGAACACCGGUGGCGAAGGCGGUUCUCUGGGCCUGUACUGACGCUGAGGAGCGAAAGCGUGGGGAGCGAACAGG